CAAGCCUAGCCGAAAGAAAAGCCGGUUCGUUGCGCUGUUUGAACGCGAAUGGUGGGUGUUGUGUGGUUGUGCCUGCGGGAUUAACUGCUGCCAACUGGGUCCCGCCAAAAACGGCAGUGUUUUCUCACCUGUAACGUCGCUGCUGGACCUGAUCACCCACCGGAGCGUCAUGCUAUCAGCGGUCACUCCAGUCACGAAAAGCCGCGGAGCUUCGGGAACAUCUGCGUAGGGACGUCGGAAGCAAAGCACCACAGGUACAGGGGUACUUUCCAUACCAUCGCCGCUGUCACGUACCGUGGUCCCUCCAGUACUGGACGACGUACUUCGAGAUCGGACUGUUUCCGCUGUAUGAUGGCGACCACGACACGCUCGCCGAUCGGCUCCAGACGUCCUUGAGGCGCACAUCCUGCGGAGGACCCGGCACCUCUGGGAGUAGAAAAGGCCCGGUUCGAGGUGUCAUUCGCUUGACGCUGCCCUUGGACCAGGCGAUGGAGAGUGGCUGGUCGCCCGUGGCCUGGCACUUCAUCCGCGUCACCUCGGUCCGCCGGGCGGUCACCACGGUCGACUUCUCUUCGAACCUCGCCGGCACUGCGCGUGG